ACCAUCUGUUGCUAGCCCAAAAUCUGAAAGCUUCGCAUUAUAGUCCGAGUCUAAUAGGACAUUUGAAGCCUUAAAAUCUCUAUAUAUGACUGGUUUUUCUUCUCCAUGGAGGAAGGCAAGGCCUUUUGCUGCUCCAGCUGCAAUUUUGAGUCUUGUUAACCAGGGCAAGGCUGCUGAAUACCUUUUAAAUAGCAGGGUCUCCAAGUUGCCUCGCUCCAUAUAUUCAUAGACAAGCAGCCUGUGCUCAUCCUCGCAGCAGUAACCAAUCAAGUUCACAAGAUGGGGAUUCUUUAAUUG
rnacentral:misc_RNA from 1 species